GCUGCUGCUUAUUUAUGAUCAGAUCAAGGGUAUAAGGUGUCAGUGGGGGCAGCCAGCAGUCAUAGGCCAGAGAGGGGCGACUGCCCGUCCCAAAGGUUUGUCACAGGGUAAGUAACCGACAGACUGGGAACGGAAGGAGGCAAUCUUCAGCCACUCGGUCACUCAUUCUAAAUUCACUCUCAAUCAUUUUUUGGGCAUCUAUUGUGCAAGCCCUGUGGACUUAAAAAGAGAAAUAAGACGCGGUCCCUGCCCUUGGGAGCUCCCGGCACAUCUGCCCCAACGACUCACUGAAGCUGCUUGCCGGGCGCCUGAGUGAGGACAAGGUGUCCUAAGGACUGAGAAAAAUUGCUUGAUUCUUCCUGGCAAAUAGGACAGGGUGAGUUUCCUGGAAGAGGGGGCCUUCGAGCUGUGUAGUGGGGAAGGUAGGAGAGUGAUGAGAGCAUUCGGGGAGACCGAAGCGCAUGCAACGACACAUUUAUUGAGCACCUACUAAGUGCCAGGCACUGUUACAUCGGUGAUGUAACAACAGCCGACAAAAACCCUCACCCCGAGUGCAGGCACUGCAGAGGGUGAUGAUAGUACCCGAGAAGAUGCCGAACGCAGGCCAGGAGGGGCUCUGGGGAAAAGCAAAGGCAGGGGAGGUUGCCCAUUGGGGAGCCUUGCGUCCCUGGGCCCUCAGUACUCUGCACACAUACAGGGGCCCCCACUCAUCCUGUAACCACAAACUGCUUGGUGUGACUGGCCAGCGGAGGGAGGAGCCCAGGCUGAAGGACAAGUAGGGGUCAGGGUCCCUGCAGUUGCUGGGGAAAGUGGACUCUUCGCGUAGGGCUCUGGUAAUGGCCUUUAUAGCCCCUGCCCUCAGAGGGCCCCCAAGUGGGAAGGGCCUGGCUCCUAGGCAGUGGGUGGUCACAGAGGACUGACUUUGAACCCAGUGCAGGGGAGCCCCAGGAGGCUGGAGGCCUGGUGAAGGCGCUCCCUCAGGGCUAUUCUCACAGCCACCGGAAUGCAGCCUGGAAUAUCCAACCUGCUCAGCCCACCUGCCCCCAGACAGACAGCGACCAUUCUAGCUGCCUCCCCGGAGGCCUGCUGACCCAGAGAGGUGUCAAAAAGCUGAGGCAGAACAGUGACAGACCUCCCAGAGACUCAGCAGGGAGUUGGAGAAGUCAGCAAACCAGCAGCUGUAGUCCAUCCCCGUCCCCCCUCAUUCACCUGCUAUGCAGCACUUAGGGGCUUGCUGAAGCCCCAGCAAGACAGUGGUCCACCUGAGAGCUCAGAAACACACCUAUGCCCCAGACCACUGCAAUCACCACCUCCAGUCAGCCCUGGCCACCCUAGUGAACUGGCUAAGGGCCCCAGAUGACUCUGAGUCACAAGCCAGGGCUGGGAGGCACUGUAUGAAAGGCGGCCUUCUCUACACAAGGCUGGACACACCCCUUUCAUGGCCUGUCUCCUAGGAGCUGGGAUGAAUCUCUGGACGAUGUGCUGGGAACAAAGAAAACCCACGUGGUAAAAGCUCACUCUUCCUUGGGAAUCUGAAAUGUUUACAGAACGGGGAAGGCUGAAAAUUGCCCACAGUGCCACACCUGGGCCUGAGGGCCGACGUACCCACCCUCUCCCUCUCCCGGAGGAAACAAGACCCCAACCAGACUCAAAACCACUUCACCCCCUCACAAUCCUUACAGAUACUCAAAGACUGGCACUUACACCUCACAACCUGAGUGCGUUUAAAUGCCUAACACAAUACCAAGUGCACUGUACACCACACUUGAAAAGGUAGA